GUUCAUUGUCUUGGGCAACAUGACUGAUACUUCUGGAAUUGCAGACUGCAAUCGGGGGAGGUGGUGGAGAUAUUGGAAAGAAAAUAAAUCAUGGUGGUGGUGAUGGUGGUGAUGAUGAUGGCGAUGACGACGAUUACUUUGAUGGCUUUGAUGAUGGUGAUGAAGGGGAUGAGGGAGGCCUAUUUAGGAGGCGUAAAUUUCUUAAGGAGCUUUUUGAUCGUAAAUUCAUAGAUGCGGUGUUAAACGAGUGGCAGAAGACAAUGAUGGAUUUGCCUGCUGGAUUCCGACAAGCUUAUGAAAUGGGUCUGGUUAGCUCUGCUCAAAUGG